rnacentral:rRNA from 1 species
GUAGGUGGCAAGCGUUGUCCGGAAUUAUUGGGCGUAAAGCGCGCGCAGGUGGUUCUUUAAGUCUGAUGUGAGAGCCCCCGGCUCAACCGGGGAGGGUCAUUGGAAACUGGGGAACUUGAGUGCAGGAGAGGAAAGUGGAAUUCCACGUGUAGCGGUGAAAUGCGUAGAUAUGUGGAGGAACACCAGUGGCGAAGGCGACUUUCUGGCCUGUAACUGACACUGAGGCGCGAAAGCGUGGGGAGCAAACAGGGAUUAGAUACCCUGGUAGUCCACGCCGUAAACGAUGAGUGCUAAGUGUUGGGGGGGUUUCCGCCCCCUCAGUGCUGCAGCUAACGCAUUAAGCACUCCGCCUGGGAGUACGGUCGCAAGACUG